AACGAACGCUGGCGGCAGGCUUACACAUGCAAGUCGAGCGCCCCGCAAGGGGAGCGGCAGACGGGUGAGUAACGCGUGGGAAUCUACCCAUCACUACGGAACAACUCCGGGAAACUGGAGCUAAUACCGUAUACGUCCUUCGGGAGAAAGAUUUAUCGGUGAUGGAUGAGCCCGCGUCGGAUUAGCUAGUUGGUGGGGUAAUGGCCCACCAAGGCGACGAUCCAUAGCUGGUCUGAGAGGAUGAUCAGCCACACUGGGACUGAGACACGGCCCAGACUCCUACGGGAGGCAGCAGUGGGGAAUAUUGGACAAUGGGCGCAAGCCUGAUCCAGCCAUGCCGCGUGAGUGAUGAAGGCCCUAGGGUUGUAAAGCUCUUUCACCGGUGAAGAUAAUGGCGGUAACCGGAGAAGAAGCCCCGGCUAACUUCGUGCCAGCCGCCGCCGUAA
rnacentral:rRNA from 1 species